rnacentral:snoRNA from 1 species
AUGACCGGGACGAAUUGAGAGAAAUCGUAACAGACAGAUACGGGGCACACAGUA